GGGGGGGGGGGGGGGGGGGCCGGACACGGGCAGGUCGAGCGGGGGGACGGGAAGGGCUUGCUCUUGCGGGUGGCGAGUGGCGGGCGGGUGAGGAAUACAGCGGAAUGUACUUUGUCGUGGGGGAUAACGUAGGGAAACUUACGCUAAUACCGCAUACGACCUACGGGUUAAAGCAGCGGCUCUUCGGACCUUGCGCGAUUGAAUGAGCCGAUGUCGGAUUAGCUAGUUUGCGGGGUAAAGGCCCACCAAGGCGACGCUCCGUAGCUGGUCUGAGAGGAUGAUCAGCCACACUGGAACUGAGACACGGUCCAGACUCCUACGGGAGGCAGCAGUGGGGAAUAUUGGACAAUGGGCGCAAGCCUGAUCCAGCCAUACCGCGUGGGUGAAGAAGGCCUUCGGGUUGUAAAGCCCUUUUGUUGGGAAAGAAAAGCAGCAGGUUAAUACCCCGCUGUUCUGACGGUACCCAAAGAAUAAGCACCGGCUAACUUCGUG
rnacentral:rRNA from 1 species